UCAGCAGUUUAAGGGUUUCACCAUGCAGCCCGACUGUGGCUAAAACCAUAUCAUCUGUCGAAUUCAAACCGCCAUGAAGAAUCUGAAAGGGAAUGCUCUUGUGGGGUGCCUUGGAGACUGAAUGGCCUCAACUGACGCGUUUAUUGAUCCUGGUCUUUCAAUACUGUUAGCUUGAUCCAAGUUUCACAAAUUUCGUGUUGAUGAGCUACGGUUCCACUUAUGACUUUCCUCAAAGGUUUCAAACCAGGUUCGAAAUAUGCUUCCGAAAGCAAGACCUAUCAAGACCAUCACAAGCAUGCAAGAAACUUGGACCCAAUCUGGGAGUC
rnacentral:lncRNA from 1 species